AUUCAGAUGACAAGUCCCAAAUAGGAGGAAAUGCGCAUCUUGGAU
rnacentral:hammerhead_ribozyme from 1 species